UAAGAGAACAGCAACAGUGGACGAGAACGUGGUCCAAGUGCAUUUUGAAACAAAAGUAUGGCAGAUGGCAUCCGGACACUGGGAGACCAGGAUUAUGACUCGAAUCGCUCCACCUGGAAAUGAUGGGUUAGCAUCAAAGUCCAUGUCGCAGAACUCAUGUCUGGUGGUCAUUGCCACGGAAUCAGGUUGGAUGCAACCAUAAGGUCCUCCAUGAUGGCAUCCGUUGCUCUAUUCUUUUGGCUGAUUCUAAUGUGAACACCCACCUUCUGCUCUGGACAGGUCUCCUAACAAGAAGUCAUGCCGGUACCCUCUCGCACAUGGAUUUGAGCAGACUGGCUAACCACUUCAACCCAAAGCAUCCUGGGUUGGUGAUAAAGCUGGGACAGUCUAGGCGUCUGUACAAACGGCUGAAAGCAACUGUUAUCUCUGCAGUGGUAAGAAUGGUGACAUUGUGCAACUCAUUGAACAGUCAGACCCAACAUCCAGAAUGAGGCAGUUCCCAGUGGUCUCCAGCUUGGUUCCCUUCAAGCUGGACGUCUCUCAGAGGUGGAAGAUGCGCCUACUCUCACUUGGAUUUGAUAUGCCAAGGCUGGUUGAUAUUUAUGGGAGGCCUCAUCCUUUCUAAGGAGAAAGGGGGAGGGAGGGGGUAAAGGGGGAGGGGAGAAGGAGAAACUGAGAAAAGCAGAGGUAGAAGAAGCUGU